GAAGAGAAAGCAGAGACCAGGAGGAGAAGGAAGAACAAAAAAAAAAAAAAAGAGGAAGCCAUCAUGAGAGGAGAUGGACCAUGAGCCUGUGGCCAGGAGAAACAGCAAGUAUCUGGGGUACACUGCUGGGGAGGCAGCCAGGUCAGCAGUUAGAAAAGUACCUUAGGGGUUACUCCCCAGUAAUUAUCAAAGCCAAAUAAAACAAAUCAGAGCCUGGGUCUUACUUAUCUGUCACCUAGUUGAGGAUAAGUUUAAAUUGGUUGUACUACAUGUUAGUCCUCAUCUUCCAACUUGUUGGCUUUUAUUGAUUUAUGUACUCAUUUAGGUAUUUAUUCAUAUAUUUAUUUAUCUAUUUAUUUUUGUUUAAAAUAUUUUUAAUUGAAAAUAGUUUAUUCUAUACAAUAUUGUUUAAUUAUGGUUUUCUCUCCCUCAACUCCUCCCAGUUCUUCCCCACCUCCCCCCAUCCAGAUUGACCUCUUUUCUGUCUCUCCUUAGAAAACUGGGAGGUAGGCAUGGCGACACAAGCCAUCUCAAAGAUCCAUAGAGUGAGCUCCAGGACAGUCAGAGCUACACAAAGGAACCCCAAAAUAAACACAGAAGAGAAAAUAAAAUUAGCAGGCAUCUAAGGGGUUGUAGUAUAAUAGUAUGUAAUGUAAUAAUAUGAUAAAAAGAAAAAACAAGCCAGUUGAAAUAGAAAGAAACAAACAGAAGGAAAAGGGCCAAAGAAAAAUCACAAGAAACACAUAGACACAGAGGCACACACAGCCACACCCAUGGGAAUUGUAUAAAAACACAACACCAGAAGUCACAAUAUAUACUCAAAGGGCCUGUAAGGUUUAAAAGGAAAAAGAAAAAAAAAAAAAAAAAAGCCUUGACAACAUUCUCAGACACAGAACUCCCGAAGAUGCUCUUGAGUUCGUUUUCUUGUUGGCCAUCUACAUCUGGGCAUGUGCCCUACCUAUCCUCAAAAGCAGUGUUUAGAUCCAGAUAUCCACCAACAAAUGAAUAGAUUUAAAAAAAAGUGCAUUUACAUAAAGAAAGUUUACUAAGCUGUUAAAAACAAAUGAAAAUAUGAAAUUUGCAGGUAAAUGGAUGGAACUAGAAAAACAAAGUCAUCCCGAGUGAGGUAAUGUGUUCCCAGAAAGACAAACAUGGUGUGUAUUCAAAAUACUUAUAUGUGGAUGUAGAUGCUAGCUGUAAGGCCAAAUGAGACCCAACUGCAAUCCACAGAACCACUGAUUAGGUAAGAAAGGGACCGGGUGACAGGGAUAGAUCUCCCUAGGAAUGGAAAAUAAAAUAGAUAGUUAUAGAUGAAUGAGACAGGAACAGGCUGGAACUCGAGUAUCAAAAGGGGAGGGAGGGAAGAAGGGAACAAGAGAAGUGAGUGAUACGGGGAAGGAGAGCUGAAAUUAAGGAAGGAGUCAUACAGAAACCUGAUACAGUAGAAGCUUCCUGAGAUAUACACAUAUAUGAAGGUGCAAUAAAUGAAAUUGCCAAAUAACAGGGAAGACAGAGCCCCAACUCUUGUCACCAAAUGGAAAUUCCAGUACUUGGAAUGGCUUAUAUCUGAUUUAAUUGUUGACCCAAAAGGUUCCAUGGGAACCUCCAAACAACCCAGGUUAUUGCCAAGGUCACUUUUCGAAAAUUGACAGCAAGAAUCUAUUGUUGAAGACAAUACCUCCACUGUUGUUCACUUUACACAGAGAGAGCACGCUGGUGCCCACUUACAGCCUUGACCCUUAUGGGCCGGUGUUAUUGGGAGCAGAAUGCACUCUGCAUUCUACCUACCCAAGGAGAAAGGCUUCCCAACCAGCAAGUCUUUCCAGAUUGUCAGCAGAGCCCAGACCACACCUUAGCUCCACAGCCGCUUUGAAUUUAUGGAUGCAGUUAGCUAUGGUGUUUACUCUCCCUGCCCCUCUGUAUUGUUAACCUCCCCUCCCCCAAGCUGGACUCCCCUUGAAGGAGCUCUUUGUUUCCCCCUUAGUUGUAGCUUUUAUCAGACAGCAGUGGGGGUCAGAGGGUUUGAGUGGCAGGCUUCGCAGGCAGUCUGGUGACUGACUGUCUUGGUGGGUUUAAAGAAAACAGAGAGGGCUGAAGCACCCGGGGAGAUGCGUCCCCACGCCCCUGUAACUGAGAAACAAUACCACUCAAUAUUCCAACCGGCUGGGGCUGGAGCGAUGGCUCAGAAGUUCAGAAUGCUUGCUGCCCUUGCAGAGGACCUGAGUUUGGAGUCAGCACCUAAGUUGGGCAGCUCUCAACCACCUGUAAUUCCAGCUCCAGAGGAUCUGACACCCUCUUCUGGCCUCCUCAGGCACCUGCACUCACAUGCACA
rnacentral:lncRNA from 1 species